UUGGUCGGGGUAGGCCAUCAUUGUAAAUAAUAAUUUGUUCUUAACUGUUUCUGAGGCCAGGUUUAAUGGGCACAUGACUAUUGUCUUUUUUGCUGAUUAGUGUCAAGCAUGGUGCCAGAAACCUUCCCCUUCUCUUUGAGGGGUUGUGUGUUUUUCAGCUGUUCAAAUUAGGCUUUGGAGGGGUUUGUAUGUGUGAGAAGGAUACAUGUGGAGAACGACAGCUACGCAGUGUCUUAAUCUACACGGGAAGCCUGUCCGACCCUAGCACGGCUGUAAGCAAUCUGCUGGCUAGGGUCUUAGUAGGGCUAUGAGUUGAAUUGCUGUGAAUUGCUGUGUACCGUAGUUUAACUCUAUUUUUAUUUCUGUCCAUCAGCGCCCUGGGAGGUUCCUCUGCACUACACAUCCCAACAUUCCCCAGUGGAGGCAGCCUCAUCGACUAUGUACCUCAAGUCUGCCAGCUCCUCACCAACAAGGUGCAGUAUAUCAUUCAAUGAUACCACGAGAGGAGAGAGUACAUUGCUGCCUUUCUCAGUCACUUUGGAAUGUGAGUCUGGUGUGCGUGCGCGCAUGUAAGGGAGAAGGGCAAGGAAACGUUGUGGGAGCAAGCAUAUCUGUAACAUUGUAUUUGAUUAUGGUGGGCACAUUAGUGUCUUUAUGCAGGGGGGUGGUGGAGUACCAUGCAGAGGGAUUCACCAAGCUCACUCUUCUCCUCAUGUAGAAAGACUUCUGUUUCCUUGUCCAUGGUGAGUAACACACACACACCUUUCAUUCUCACUAUGUCUUCCUCCCCAAACUCUCACCUCUCCAGUGGACCUUCCUCUACUCCCCACGGGACCAGCCCACCCUGACAUUCCAGUCUGUGUACCACUUACCCAAAAGUGGGCAGCUCCACUGGCAGGUGCAGAAGUCCUAUGUAACAGUUUUCUUCCUGGGAAGGAGAGGAGGACCAAAAUGCAGCGUGGUUAAAGUCCAUGAGAGUCCAUCAGAGAAACUAAACAUGAACAGAAUACAAAACAAGAACCGUGAAGACCCAAAAACAUUCCCGUGUGGUACAAACACUGACACAAGAGACAACCACCCACAAAAUACCCAAAGAAUAUGGCUGCCUAAAUAUGGUUCCCAAUCAGAGACAACGAUAAACACCUGCCUCUGAUUGAGAACCACUCUAGGCAACCAUAGACUUGCCUAGACAACUACACUGAACACAACCCCAUGAAUCUAAUAAACCCCUAGACAAGACGAAACACAAAUAAAUCACCCAUGUCACACCCUGGCCUAACCAAAAUAAUAAAGAAAACACAGAUAACUAAGGCCAGGGCGUGACAUCCUACCCUUACAGCCCGCGAUGGGACGGCAACGAGAUGGCCAAAAGAGCCAGGUAAGGCAAGACACUACUGGACAGAUAGGGUGAAGUUGCCCCUAGAUGCUGUUGAAUAAGUUUAGCCUAUUCCUCACUAAUGGUUAGGAUUGGGGGAGGGGAAGCUGAUCUUAGAUCUGUACCUAGGGGAAACAAUCACCCGUAGCAUACUGGACAACAUUGACUUUUUGAGCUACUAUACUGUACAGUAAUUACCCAUAAUACAUGAUGAUAAUGAUUCAAAUCAAAGUUAUUUGUUUAAGUCACGUAAUCCAAUCGACUAGCACAAAACGAGAACCUGCUGCCAUCUUUGGACUAGGUCUCCCUCGCAAAAUAGAUUUGAUCUCAAUUAAACUUAUCUGGAUUUAUAAUGGUAACAUGAAAAGCAAAACAAUCCUUGUCAUACUAAUAAUCACUAACAGUAUGGACAUCAAAUCACUUUAAUUGAAACCACAUAUCACUACUCACACUGGUAAAAAUGUAUAUGGCAAUUUAAAAAAAAUAGAAUUAUAGAUGUAUGGCUCUCCCAAAUUGUAUUUACUUUACCUUUUUUCUAUUUAACAAGAACCCGUUGAACCUAUUAGUGAAUUAAUGGCUUUAUCUCUAGCAUUAUCGUGUUUACUUAGCAAAGGAGUGCUUAACUGUAACAGGAGUGCUUAACUGUAACAGUUGAGUUUUUGUCCUAAAGUUGAUAGUUACAUGGAACAGAUGGAAUUUUCUUUGUUUACAUCGCUAGUCUCCAAGGAAAGUCAGUAUCUUAUCUCUGUUUUGCUGACAAGUAGUUUUCAGUCUUAGUUUGGAACUGUGGAGGGCCCAAAAUAUGCAAACAUUCCAAAUGCCUGGGAUUCCAACCUAUCAGCUACUGGUUUAUAACUGAGAAGAGUUUGUAUUCUCGGCUACCUGACCUGGAGUGAAACUCGCCCUUAAACACACACGCACACACUGUUUGGUUUUGACAGCUCUUAAUUAUUGUACAUUGUCAUUCCAUUGCAUUUUUUGUCUUGGUUUUUCUUUUAGUUUUACUUGCUUGCUCCUCACAAUUUCUCAUUUUCUAUAAGGAAGAUUGAACAUUGAGAUAAUCAGAAGUAGCCAUCGGUCUCUCUGUCUUGAUUUCACAGUGGUAAAUUGUUGAGAUGUUUUGUGUUUAGAUUAUACUCUCAGCAUGUCAGGAGACAACUUUUUCCUGCUGAAAGAACAAACUGGCGCUGCACUUUUAUGGUCAGAUAAGAACUGUAGUACUCCCAGUAAAUCUGUCUGUCUAAAUUACUUUUAAUUGGUAUCUUUCUCUCUCACUCCACAGAGCAUAUUUCAAGAGCUUCAUUCCUCAAUUUCAGGAAGAGGCCUUUGCCACUGAAACUCUAGGAGUGUAGUGUAGUGUGUGUUAAUGCGCUGCACAUAAGUGACAAUGUACGCUGUACAGGGAUUCUCUAACUCCAUGUUUAGCCAUGUGUUUUAUGCUUUCCCUGAAUUGUCUGCGUUUCCAUUUUAUUUCUUUUUUUUACCCUUCUUAAAAUUACAGAAAGAAAAUGCUGUUGCUAAAAUGGUUAGGGUCAGUAGUUCAGAACCACUUAGUCUGUCAAUAGACAGAUGUUGGGUUUGCUCAGCCAAGGUGCCCCAGCCUCAAACAAGACAUCACUUCUGAUCUUCUACAUUUACAUUUACAUUUAAGUCAUUUAGCAGACGCUCUUAUCCAGAGCGACUUACAAAUUGGUGCAUUCACCUUAUUUCUAAUUGGUUGUGAGAACUGGAAAAGGGCCCUGAACUCUUUGGCUGGAGCUUGAUGUGAUGCGGUCAUCUUCUGGAAAAACCUUCAGUGGUUCAUCUUGAUUCAUAUAAUACAUUCUUACGAGUGGUAUCAUUACUUUAUCAUUCUACAGUUGUCUUAAUCUUUGCCUUGAGAGGAGUAUUCCUCAGUACUAUGUACAUUGGAGAGAAUACUGUAUGUUCUAUUUUUCAUUUGUAAAGACCUGUGAUCAUAUUUGAUUCACUUACUCCAUGAAGGUAAGUUACUAAAUGUUUUCUGUUAUUUUCAUUUCACCACCAUCUCAAUCACUCCUAUUCCAAAUAAAACCCUGAAAUCCUG